AUGGACGACAAUGACUUGAUUACAUCUGUUCAAGUUACUAAUGAAUGGACCAACUUUCGGCAACAAUUACCGCAAGACAUCUAUGCUGAAUACCUUCUCAGGCAUGCUGAAUUAGAGAUGUCAUACAUGGCUGAAGGAACUGGUACUGGAAAGAGGACUUAUGUCACUUGGGAUGAUGAGAUGGACGCUGCGUUACUUGAGGUACUUGUUCAUCGUCACAACAUGGGUGACCAUUCACAAAAUGGAUGGAAAGCACAUGUGUACAGUGCAACUAUAAAGAAUGUGAAGGAGAAGUGCAAUAAGGAUAUUGCGAAGAACAACAUAUUAGGAAGGCUUAGGACUUUCGACAAUCAAUUUGAAAUCAUUAACAAUAUCCUUUCUCAAAGCGGUUUUGGUUGGGAUUGGGUCAAUAAUAAGUUGCCCAUUGAUAGCGAGGAUGUGUGUACUAAAUAUUUGGAGGCUAAUAAGAAAGAGAAAGCAUUAACUUCUUACAAGACCAAAGUAGUGAAGCACUGGGAAGCCAUCUCUACCAUAUAUUCAAAAGAUCAUGCGGACAGUGAAGGUGCCAAGACAGGUGCUGAGACUGCUGCUGAGACUGUUGCAGAUCUAUAA
rnacentral:rRNA from 1 species